CAAAUAUACAUAAAAAUAGGUCAUCCUAGGCCCUACGGUUCUCGAGAUAUUCACAGAAAACAGUGUCUGGCCUACCCUCCUUUCCGGCCUGGUGUGGUGGGUGGGCGACGGAUCAAACCAAAAAACAAUGGU